CUAGCGGCGGACGGGUGAGUAACGCGUGGGAACGUGCCCUUCUCUACGGAAUAGUCCCGGGAAACUGGGUUUAAUACCGUAUACGCCCUUCGGGGGAAAGAUUUAUCGGAGAAGGAUCGGCCCGCGUUGGAUUAGGUAGUUGGUAGGGUAAUGGCCUACCAAGACUACGAUCAGUAGCUGGUUUGAGAGGAUGAUCAGCCACACUGGGACUGAGACACGGCCCAGACUCC
rnacentral:rRNA from 1 species